UACGGGGGGGGGCAAGCGUUGUUCGGAAUUACUGGGCGUAAAGGGCGCGUAGGCGGUUCGAUAAGUCAGCUGUGAAAACCAUGGGCUUAACUCAUGGCCUGCAGUUGAGACUGUCGGGCUGGAGUGUGGGAGAGGAGAGUGGAAUUCCUGGUGUAGCGGUGAAAUGCGUAGAUAUCAGGAGGAACACCAGUGGCGAAAGCGGCUCUCUGGGGACCACCUGACGCUGAGGCGCGAAAGCGUGGGGAGCGAACCGG
rnacentral:rRNA from 1 species